rnacentral:rRNA from 1 species
AUGAUUUUUCUCGCCACACUUGGAUCUACUUUAUGUCAUCUUGUAGUCAAGUGCUUCAAAUUUACAAGUCGUUUGCUACCAUGGUUCGCACUCAGUAUGAUUCCUCUGUUCGAGUUUUUCGUGCUGAUUCGGCUGGCGAGUACUUAUCUCGUGCGCUUCGUGGUUUCCUUGCUGAACAUGGUACCCUUCCUCAGUAUUCCUGUCCUGGUGCACACGCUCAAAAUGGGGUGGCUGAACGCAAACAUCGUCACGUCCUUGAGACUGCUCGGGCUCUUCUUUUAUCUUUUGUUGUUCCCCCGCACUUUUGGGUUGAGGCUGUCUCUACCGCUGUUUAUCUCAUUAAUAUUCAGCCUUCUGUUGCUCUUCAGGGAGGGAUACCAGUUGAUCAUCUAG